rnacentral:lncRNA from 1 species
GCUCAGGUAUGUCUUUAUUACCAGUGUUCUUGAGGAUACAAUCAACCAAGGUACACUUUAAAUUAAAGCAGAUAUAUGGAUAAAACAGGAAAAAUACAAGGAUAUUCAAUAUCAACAUUUCCAUUAAGAAUUGUACUGGGGCAUCUGGCCAACAGAAUUCAGAGCCCCAGCCUGUUCAUAAAAAAAAUCAGAUGAAUUUUGUCUGCGGAACAUUCUGCAAAAAUAUCUGACCAGUAAGUAAUCCUCUAAAUAGCCACAGCCAUCAACAGCAAGGAAAGUCUGAGAAAGUGUCACAGCCAAGAGGACCCUAUAAAGACAUGAUGACUAAAUGUAACAUGGUGUCUUCCAUGGGAUCCUGAAACAGAAAAAGGACAUUAGAGCUGGGGAUUGUGGUAUGUGCCUUUAGUCCUAGCUACUCCGGAGGCUGAGGCAGGAGGAUCACCUGAGCCCAGGACUUUGAGGCCGCUGUAAGCUAUGAUCAUGCCACUGCACUCCAGCUCAGGCAACAGUGAGACCCGGUCUCAACAAACAAAAGAAAAUAAAAGAAUGGUAGACAAGGCAAUAGGUAUUUUUAAAAGUGAGAGAAACUAUCAGAGAGCUGUAGCAGAAAAGCAAGUUAAAAAUAAAGGAAACAGAAAAGGAACUGAUACAGCUGAUUUGAUACUGGAAAAAUCACCCAGGAGGCAGCGUGGACAAUGGAUUGGAGAAGG